rnacentral:tmRNA from 1 species
CCGAUAAAAAUGGACAUCGAAACACAAAUGGCGAUAAUAACUUCGCAUUGGCUGCUUAAUCCAGGAUUAAAAAGCCUUUUAUGCCGCCCGGUUGACGUCCGAUACAUACCGGUUGCCGCAUAUCAACAGACCCGCGGACUAGCUUGAAGGAGUGUUUUGGCCCGAUAGCGAAACUUUAGAAACUAAGUUGAUGGCAAGGUCUGCUUUUAUACCUGCCUGAUACCGAAAACCCAAAUAGAAGCUAAGCAUGUAGAAAGCUCUCAGAUGCUUUGUCUGGACCAGGGUUCGAAUCCCUGCAGCUCCACAA